GUGGUAUCCUGUCUGAAUAUGGGGGGACCAUCCUCCAAGGCUAAAUACUCCUGACUGACCGAUAGUGAACCAGUACCGUGAGGGAAAGGCGAAAAGAACCCCGGCGAGGGGAGUGAAAAAGAACCUGAAACCGUGUACGUACAAGCAGUGGGAGCACCUUCGGGUGUGACUGCGUACCUUUUGUAUAAUGGGUCAGCGACUUAUAUUCUGUAGCAAGGUUAACCGUAUAGGGGAGCCGCAGGGAAACCGAGUCUUAACUGGGCGUUAAGUUGCAGGGUAUAGACCCGAAACCCGGUGAUCUAGCCAUGGGCAGGUUGAAGGUUGGGUAACACUAACUGGAGGACCGAACCGACUAAUGUUGAAAAAUUAGCGGAUGACUUGUGGCUGGGGGUGAAAGGCCAAUCAAACCGGGAGAUAGCUGGUUCUCCCCGAAAGCUAUUUAGGUAGCGCCUCGUGAACUCAUCUUCGGGGGUAGAGCACUGUUUCGGCUAGGGGGUCAUCCCGACUUACCAACCCGAUGCAAACUACGAAUACCGAAGAAUGUUAUCACGGGAGACACACGGCGGGUGCUAACGUCCGUCGUGAAGAGGGAAACAACCCAGACCGCCAGCUAAGGUCCCAAAGUCAUGGUUAAGUGGGAAACGAUGUGGGAAGGCACAGACAGCCAGGAUGUUGGCUUAGAAGCAGCCAUCAUUUAAAGAAAGCGUAAUAGCUCACUGGUCGAGUCGGCCUGCGCGGAAGAUGUAACGGGGCUAAACCAUGCACCGAAGCUGCGGCAGCGACACUAUGUGUUGUUGGGUAGGGGAGCGUUCUGUAAGCCUGCGAAGGUGUGCUGUGAGGCAUGCUGGAGGUAUCAGAAGUGCGAAUGCUGACAUAAGUAACGAUAAAGCGGGUGAAAAGCCCGCUCGCCGGAAGACCAAGGGUUCCUGUCCAACGUUAAUCGGGGCAGGGUGAGUCGACCCCUAAGGCGAGGCCGAAAGGCGUAGUCGAUGGGAAACAGGUUAAUAUUCCUGUACUUGGUGUUACUGCGAAGGGGGGACGGAGAAGGCUAUGUUAGCCGGGCGACGGUUGUCCCGGUUUAAGCAUGUAGGCUGGUUAUCCAGGCAAAUCCGGAUAAUCAAGGCUGAGGUGUGAUGACGAGGCACUACGGUGCUGAAGUAACAAAUGCCCUGCUUCCAGGAAAAGCCUCUAAGCAUCAGGUAACAUCAAAUCGUACCCCAAACCGACACAGGUGGUCAGGUAGAGAAUACCAAGGCGCUUGAGAGAACUCGGGUGAAGGAACUAGGCAAAAUGGUGCCGUAACUUCGGGAGAAGGCACGCUGGUGUGUAGGUGAAGUCCCUGCGGAUGGAGCUGAGACCAGUCGAAGAUACCAGCUGGCUGCAACUGUUUAUUAAAAACACAGCACUGUGCAAACACGAAAGUGGACGUAUACGGUGUGACGCCUGCCCGGUGCCGGAAGGUUAAUUGAUGGGGUUAUCCGUAAGGAGAAGCUCUUGAUCGAAGCCCCGGUAAACGGCGGCCGUAACUAUAACGGUCCUAAGGUAGCGAAAUUCCUUGUCGGGUAAGUUCCGACCUGCACGAAUGGCGUAAUGAUGGCCAGGCUGUCUCCACCCGAGACUCAGUGAAAUUGAACUCGCUGUGAAGAUGCAGUGUACCCGCGGCAAGACGGAAAGACCCCGUGAACCUUUACUAUAGCUUGACACUGAACAUUGAGCCUUGAUGUGUAGGAUAGGUGGGAGGCUUUGAAGCGUGGACGCCAG
rnacentral:rRNA from 1 species